rnacentral:rRNA from 1 species
GACGAACGCUGGCGGCGUGCCUAACACAUGCAAGUCGAGCGGAGUUGGAAGAAGCUGCAGAGAUGUAGCGGGAGCCGACUUAGCGGCGAACGGGUGAGUAACACGUGGGCAAUCUGCCCUCUGGAGCGGGAUAACAGACCGAAAGGCCUGCUAAUACCGCAUGAGGCCUAGGAGUCGCAUGGCAUUUAGGUCAAAGGGGAAACCCGCCGGAGGAGGAGCCCGCGUCCCAUUAGCUAGUUGGCGGUGUAACUGACCACCAAGGCGAUGAUGGGUAGCCGGCCUGAGAGGGUGAACGGCCACAUUGGGACUGAGACACGGCCCAGACUCCUACGGGGGGCAGCAGUGAGGGAUUUUCGGCAAUGGGCGAAAGCCUGACCGAGCGACGCCGCGUGAGCGAAGAAGGCCUUCGGUCGUAAAGCUCUGUCUAGGGGACGGAGAGAGGACGGUACCCCGUCGGAGGAAGCCGACGGACUAACCGUACGUACGCCACGCAGCCGCGGUAAACUGUAGU